ensembl:snoRNA small nucleolar RNA snR60/Z15/Z230/Z193/J17
CUAAUACAAUGAUGAUUGCAUAGUUCAGCAGAUUAAAACAUGAAGAAUUGAGCAUUGUCUUUCGCUCCUAGCUGAUGUAUUGG